rnacentral:rRNA from 1 species
GACGAACGCUGGCGGCGUGCUUAACACAUGCAAGUCGAGCGGAAAGGCCCUUUCGGGGGUACUCGAGCGGCGAACGGGUGAGUAACACGUGAGUAAUCUGCCCCUGGCUUUGGGAUAGCCACCGGAAACGGUGAUUAAUACCGGAUACGACCACUUCUCGCAUGGGAUGGGGGUGGAAAGUUUUUCGGCCAGGGAUGUGCUCGCGGCCUAUCAGCUUGAUGGUGAGGUACUGGCUCACCAUGGCUCCGACGGGUAGGCGGCCUGAGAUGGUGACCGGUCACACUGGGACUGAGACACGGCCCAGACUCCUACGGGAGGCAGCAGUGGGGAAUAUUGGACAAUGGGCGGAAGCCGGAUCCCGCAACGCCGCGUGAGGGAUGACGGCCUUCGGGUUGUAAACCUCUUUCAGCAGGGACGAAGCGCAAGUGACGGUACCUGCAGAAGAAGCACCGGCAAACUACGUGCCAGCCGCCGCAGUAA